rnacentral:rRNA from 1 species
UACGUAGGGGGCAAGCGUUGUCCGGAAUCAUUGGGCGUAAAGCGCGUGUAGGCGGUUUGGUAAGUCGAUUGUGAAAUCCCUGGGCUUAACCGAGGAAGUGCAUUCGAAACUACCUGGCUAGAAGACGGUAGAGGAAGGUGGAAUUCCUAGUGUAGAGGUGAAAUUCGUAGAUAUUAGGAGGAAUACCGGUGGCGAAGGCGGCCUUCUGGACCGAUCUUGACGCUGAGACGCGAAAGCGUGGGGAGCAAACAGG